CGCACUUUAUAUAUUUUUUCUGAGAGAAUAUGAGAGUGUGGUCAUGAUAUACUAAUAAAAUUAUAGCAAUUAUCAGCUAGCUGAUCUGUAUUAAAAGUAAGCUCUGCACUGUUUUUUUAUGGAUGGUCCAUACCCCGCCCCCGGCAUCUUUGUGGCUUUGGGGCUUUUGUCAAGGGUGCAAAUUGUCCCACUUUGUAGACCACAUAUAUAAUCUGUCCGUC
rnacentral:lncRNA from 1 species